GCUUGAGCUAUCAACAUUGUUUAUGGUUGAGCUUGCCUAGCCACCCUUCUUUCUGGGGAAUGGAGAACCGAUCCAGGCCAAGGAGCAAGUUCUUCACCUGAGAGGGCUUAUACAGCCAUCAGGGUCAGAGUCCUACUCACCUGUGGUCCUCUACAUGACGGAGCAGACUGUGGGAAAGGGGGUAACGUGGUCAGACCUAUACACUUUAAGAAGUUCAAGAUCAGUUUGGUAGAAUCUUAUGACAGGAAUGGAAAUCUGCACUCUGUCAGCUUGAGGCGCCUACUUCUGUGUACCCUUCCCAUGCCUUUGGCAAGGUAGUAUUUGGUGAGGAAUCAAACUGGUG